rnacentral:rRNA from 1 species
CCUACGGGAGGCAGCAGUGAGGAAUAUUGGUCAAUGGACGCAAGUCUGAACCAGCCAUGCCGCGUGCAGGAUGACGGCUCUAUGAGUUGUAAACUGCUUUUGUACGAGGGUAAACCCCGAUACGUGUACCGGGUUGAAAGUAUCGUACGAAUAAGGAUCGGCUAACUCCGUGCCAGCAGCCGCGGUAAUACGGAGGAUCCGAGCGUUAUCCGGAUUUAUUGGGUUUAAAGGGUGCGUAGGCGGUUUGAUAAGUUAGAGGUGAAAUUUCGGGGCUCAACCCCGGAACUGCCUUUAAAACUGUUAGACUAGAGAGUGGUUGCGGUAGGCGGAAUGUGUGGUGUAGCGGUGAAAUGCUUAGAGAUCAUACAGAACACCGAUUGCGAAGGCAGCUUACCAAACUAUGACUGACGUUGAGGCACGAAAGCGUGGGUAGCGAACAGGAUUAGAUACCCGAGUAGUC